GUAAAAUGGCGUGUUUGGAGUUUAUAAGGGUUUGCGAAGCGACGCACCUUUUCAAAUUAUAGAAGGAAACAAUGAUUGAAAUUCUUUGGGAAUCGUAAACGUUGCUGAAGACGUGAAGUGAAUAUGGCAAAAUUCAAUAAUUAUUAUUAAUUCUGCCAUAUUGGGGGGUAAUUGUUGACACAUAAAAAUUCAGCCCAAAUCGAACAGCCCAGAGAGUAAAGCCCAAUUGGAAGAUCUCCAAAUCAGAUAGCCUAAAGAACGAAAUCCAAUUGAACGAAUCAAGGUGAAUGCCCAAAUAAGGGGUCCAAUAGUGCGGUAACGACAUCGUCCAAGUUUGCAAGUCGCUCAGAGUCUGAACGAAUAGAGUGACAUACGGUCGUCCAGAGUCUCGCCCAAAUCUUCAAGUCGCCCAAGGUAUCAACAAACACAACGCAUUAUGAUGCAGUUAUUGAGGCAGUUGCUAAAGUAACUUUUAUCACGUUCCACGACUCAAGGGGUUCAAUCGAAAGCGGUUGAACGAUGCAAGAUAAUGGCAGCAGUUAAAAGGACAGUUUCAUGACAAAUGGCCACUACAAAGAAAGUGGAUAGUUAUAGGGCGAUCAAGCAGUUUUUUAGAGCAGUUAAUCACAAAGGGAUCGCCUAUGAAGUAUAAAAGGGAGAAAGAACUUAGAAGCAAA
rnacentral:lncRNA from 1 species